rnacentral:rRNA from 1 species
AGAGUUUGAUCCUGGCUCAGGACGAACGCUGGCGGCGUGCUUAACACAUGCAAGUCGAACGGAAAGGCCCUUUCGGGGGUACUCGAGUGGCGAACGGGUGAGUAACACGUGGGUGAUCUGCCCUGCACUUUGGGAUAAGCCUGGGAAACUGGGUCUAAUACCGAAUACACCUUGCUGGCUGCAUGGCCUGGUGGGGGAAAGCUUUUGCGGUGUGGGAUGGGCCCGCGGCCUAUCAGCUUGUUGGUGGGGUGAUGGCCUACCAAGGCGACGACGGGUAGCCGGCCUGAGAGGGUGUCCGGCCACACUGGGACUGAGAUACGGCCCAGACUCCUACGGGAGGCAGCAGUGGGGAAUAUUGCACAAUGGGCGCAAGCCUGAUGCAGCGACGCCGCGUGAGGGAUGACGGCCUUCGGGUUGUAAACCUCUUUCAGUAUCGACGAAGCGCAAGUGACGGUAGGUACAGAAGAAGCACCGGCCAACUACGUGCCAGCAGCCGCGGUAAUACGUAGGGUGCGAGCGUUGUCCGGAAUUACUGGGCGUAAAGAGCUCGUAGGUGGUUUGUCGCGUUGUUCGUGAAAACUCACAGCUCAACUGUGGGCGUGCGGGCGAUACGGGCAGACUGGAGUACUGCAGGGGAGACUGGAAUUCCUGGUGUAGCGGUGGAAUGCGCGAUAUCAGGAGGAACACCGGUGGCGAAGGCGGGUCUCUGGGCAGUAACUGACGCUGAGGAGCGAAAGCGUGGGGAGCGAACAGGAUUAGAUACCCUAGUAGUCC